ensembl:snoRNA
UGGACAUUUAUUCUUACUCCGUUUCUUCUCCAGGUGAAGAUAACUCUUUAUAAAUGUCCUAGAGAAAUAUAGUAGCUUUCUGUUCACCCUUGGCAAGUAAAAAGGGUGGAUCGUUCCCACUACUGACACCA